UUCAUAUAGAAAUAUUAGUUUUAGUUGUCGAAGUUUUCACGGUGUCGGUUUGUAGUUUUUAGAGUUAUUUUAGGGUCAAAGUUCUUCUAAAGUUUUAAAGGAGUUUGAUACGUCAAAGUUCUGCUCAAAUCAUUUUCAUAAGUAACCGGUUCUGGGCAAACAUCAGAGAAAACGCUCGUGGACUUUCAACAACGAUCAACAACAAAAGGCGACGAGCUAGACCAUUUAGGAGGGAAGACUAUGGAGUGACAGAUUACGAUAAUGUCAAGGCUGAAGGUUGCUAGCGUUUUGUCAAACGCUUAUUACAUCUUUACUAGUACGUAAUAU